rnacentral:tRNA from 1 species
GGAGCUAUGGCAAAGUGGUUAAGUGCUUGGCUGCUAACCAAAAGGUCAGUGGUUCAAACCCAUCAGCUGCU